CUUUUACUGGCUUUCUCCCUUUAACCCCUGCUUCCCUUUGAUACUUGCCUGCUCCACAGUUGCCAAUCAUGAUUUUGCAAACUCAGUUGAAACAUUUCAGUGGGACAAAUCACCCUGUUUUUUUUACUCCCUGCCAUCCUCAGGAGUUUACAGUCAGAACCUCCUUUCAGCCUGAAUUUUCCCUUUGCUUUCCUGCAAAUCCUUGGAGUUGUUUUCAACAAGAUGCACCAAGGUGCUUCACCAAGAGAACAAACAUCUGACAAAAGGUGUCCAUAUGUCUGCAACAGGGAAUCUGGCCAGCUCACAGAAACUUCCUCUCCUCCAAGAACUGCAUACUGAGGCAAAUUCCCAGCUUAUUAAAAAAUAGUUGUGUUAUUUUGCCAUCUUGUUUGUUCUGCAGUUCCACUGUAUUUCCCCCCCUCCCCCUCUCUCUCUUUUUUUUUUUUUAAUUAUGCUGUUGGCUUUUGGAGGGAAAAAAAAAAGGAAAUGGAAAAGAAAAAAAAGUCAAGAAUUUUUAAAAUAUAUCUUUAUUUUGGGCUGUGUGUCACUUACAAACUUCUGUAGCAAUUAAUAGGAACAUCCCAAUAUUCAGAUGCUAUUUGUCCAGUGAAGAGCUGUUUGCAUGAAGUAUACAGAAGCUUCCAAAAAACCCCUAAAGAUCUUAAAGUAUGUUAUAAAGCUUCUCUUCAACUUCUGACAGAAAUGCCUUAACUUCACUGCUGCUGAGCUCUUUUCCAAAGUAAAUGAAAUCAAAACUGGAAUGGCUAAACCUUGAGUAACACUGUCCCAGAGUUUAAUGUGUUCCAAACACUCAAUUUCAAAGUUUAGCUUAGUUGUUUUAGUUUUUCUGAAUGAUUCCUAAGACAACUUUUCAAUUCAGUGCUGGAGUUUCAUUGCUUGUUUGGUUUCUUUUUUUACCCCAUCUUAUAACUUCCUAGAUUUUGAAGGUAAAAGCCAGUUAUGUUGAGAUCUGGGAAAUUGCUUCUUCAAAAUAAAGGAAAAUAUUUUGG